CCGGUUUUAAGGUUCGUAGUACCUUAUUUAUAUAGAUUUUCAUUAUAUAAAUUCCAGUGAUGUUCAUAUGUUCUACUUUGGGCCCCUGUUUUUAGCACAUUUAAUAAAAUUUAAUAAUCAACAGAUCAAAUCAUCCACUGAUAAAUAGGAAAAAAAAUCACUUAUAAAACUAAUUGAUAGAAUCAAAAUAAUCUAUAGCACAUUACGAAACUAAUUAAAUUAAGAAAUUAUCUCUAAACUCUAUAAAACGAAAUCAAAUUCGAAUCAAAGGUACACAUUCUUUAACUCAAGAUUUGAGUGUAAGGAAACAAUAAACACCUAGAAAUUUUGAAGCCGAAAUCGUCCAAAUCUCACUGUUGUCGCCGGUCCCCCAACUACAUCUCCCCCGCCGGUCUCUGUCUCUGCUCGCCGUACCACCGCUUCUCCGUCGCCGCACUGUUGCUUAUUUGCAUCGAUCUCUUUUCUCCGUCGUACACAACUCUCCCUCUCCGAUCUGCUCACAGCAAGAGUAAUUUACCGGUGCUUUUCUUCUCUUUCUCUCGCUUUUCUUCUCUUUCUCUCUCUAACCCACUUAAACACUUUCUCUUUCUCUCUUUGUGUAUCUGUUUAGAUUUUAGAUAAUGAAAGGAACGGUGGAGUAAAAUAUAAGGGAUAUAGUACAUAUUUUACUGUUUACUUUAUCAAUGAUCACAUAAAUUACAAUUUAUUAUUUGUGUAUUAUAUAAAUACAAUAUAACUAGAAAUGACAAUAUAACUAUAAGAGAUAUAGUAUAUUUAUCUCUUAGUAU
rnacentral:lncRNA from 1 species